rnacentral:sRNA from 1 species
UUGGCAAUCCCUAUCACGAACCUUUUGCACAUUAUCAGUAAUGCCACUUCUUGGAAUCCAGCCCAAAGAAAUAAUAUGAAAGGUUAAAAAAAUAUUUUGGACCCAAAAAAUGUUAAUCACGGGCCUGUGAGAUAACUGAUCAGCUAGAGGAGAAAAGCGACUUCAGCAAGUUGUUCUCUGAUCUCCACAGGAUGCCAUGGGGCCUACAUACCCUGCCCUACAUAAUUCAUUAAUAAAUAAAUGUAAUUAAAAAAGAAGAAACUACAGGGGCAUGGAGAAAUCUUGGAAAUACAGAAGUCUCAAAAUGUCCAACAACAGCGGGCUGUAAGUAACAGAGUCGGCUGCCGUCUGCGUUGGUGUUGCUCAGGGGGUCAUGGUUUUAAGAAUGCCAAUACCCCCGGAGAAGCAGGCCAUGGAGUGGUCAGCCUGAAAGCAGGAUCAGAACCACUGGUGACGCUGGAUGCAGAUGCACACAGAAAGCAUCUGUACACGCCCGUCCUGGCAGUCGGUGCAAACCAUGGUUUCUUUCCUUCCUCUUUUCCAAUUUCCCUUCUGCCUCCUGAUUUUUUUUUUUUAGGAUGGAAUUAAAAAGCAUCGGCUUCUCGGUUUCCUUUGAAAACCGCAAGCCCCUGAGAAAAAGGGCAGGGAGGCCCAGUAACUGCAAGAACAGGAGCUGUGGAGUACCGGAAGUGACCUACAAGGAUGUGGGAGUCCAGAACAGAGCACGAGUUUGGGGAAACUCUGCAUGCUUCCCACAAGCUGGGCAGUGCUUGAACCCAUGGGCAGAGCUCCACGGUUCUGCCGGUUAUGGGUGAGUGUUAGGGGGUUGAAAGGUUGGAAGAAAGAAGAACCCACAAAGUAGCAAAGAUGAGCUACAGCCGGCCUUAGCAGCAAGCUCUACCCACCCUGACAGCCCAGGACUGACUGGUUCUUUCAUGUUGAGGAAAACUCCCUUCAGGCCUGGAGUUUUAAUCAGAACGAGACACCCCUCCCCCCCCCAUCCCUUGUCACCUGAUCACUCAUUCCAAUAGAAGUCAUAACUGGCUUCUGUUGUCACGAAUAGGGUUGUGUGUGGUAAGUACUCCCCAGAGUAUGCUUAUUGUCUGGCCCAAAAUGCUGGGUGCACGCAUUGAGUACUCCCUGUAUACCAGGCUAUACCAGGGCUGUAAAUUCCAUAGACCCUGAGGAAACCAGAAGCCAAGGGGGUUCACGUCCCAUGACCUUUCGCCUUCUACGUCAGAGCUUCUGAUACUGCCUCCUUGUCCUUCCUUCCCUGCUGUCCAGCAAGACACUGGACCUGUUGUGACAGCCACCCACACAUGACUAGUGAGUGCUCAAAAAUGUGUCCAGGACCACUUGGCAAUCAAGGCUGCAUUUUAAUCUACUCUAAUCGACGUGUCAGCAUGUGGGUAGUAACUGCAGUGUCGGAUGGCCCAACUCACUGAGAACCUGUCCUGAGCUCUGCCUGUGACGCUGUCACAUCUCUCCCUGCCACCACCUCUGCAGUCCGAAUGUCACUGCUGUGGUGUGACUGAGCACGUCCUGGUUUACAGCAGCUCCCGCCAUGGGUUCGAGCCCACAUGAGCAUCGCUUCCAACUCUUCAGGGACCUCCAUGUGAGGGCUGAGAGCCCUUUUGGAAGUCUUUAUGCCAGGGGAAUGAAUGGUCAUUGCUCUCCAAAGUUUCUUCUGCUCAGACAAGCACAUGCUAAAAACUCACCAGCAACAGAGCCAAGACUUGCUGAGGACAGUACUAGUGGAUAUUCCUUAAGUUUUGCUCACUUAGCACCUCCUGGGUCUCCCCUAGCCCGGAGCCAUGCUCUACCGAGCACCCCUACACCCAGCUCCUCUACUCCUGUAGGACCCUGCAGCUUCUGGGGUUUCUGUCUGAUGUCUGUGUUUGUAUCUGUCUUCUCCGUUAAGCUUAGAACCCCUACAGGGCAGAUAGUUUCUCUGUCCUUGUGGACUGAAUCCACAGGACCCACUGCACAGUGGGCAUCCCAUAAGCAUGCACAGGAGCCAACACGACACACACUAGGUGCUCCUUCGGACCCACUGCACAGUGGGCAUCCCAUAAGCAUGCACAGGAGCCAACACGACACACACUAGGUGCUCCUUAGGACCCACUGCACAGUGGGCAUCCCAUAAGCAUGCACAGGAGCCAACACGACACACACUAGGUGCUCCUUAGGACCAUGUAGAAAUAAGUACCACACACAGUGGGUCCUCCAUGAGAGUGCAUGUAAGCUGGGGCUGGGGAGAUGGCGCAGUAGUUAAGAGCACAGGCUGCUUUUGCAGAGGACCUGGGUUCAGUCCCCAGCAACCCACACAGUGUCUCACGACGUUCUGUAACUCCAGUUCCGGGGGGAUCAGAUGCCUUCUUGGGUCCGAGGCAUAUGUGUGGUAUACAUACACACAGGCAAAACACUCAUGCACGAAAAAUAAAAAUAAAAUAUUCUUAAAGAAUGAGGUGGAUUAAAAAUAAAUACAUUUAAACAGGCGCAGCACACAGUGGGUGCUCCAGUAGGAUAUGUAAAAGAAACACGAAAACUUAGUGGAAAGAUGGUGGGGCUAGAGACCUAACCCUAGACUCCGGAGUUUGACUCUUCUUGUGGUUCUAAUGAGAUGUGUGACAUGAGACGCAUCCCCCUGGACUCGGCGUCCUUGUAUGUUAGUUCCACAGGCAUUCUCUCUCUUUCCUGCUCACCUCGUGAAGAUACCGAAAGUGAAAAUAAGACACCGUGUGGCUUUAGAAGGUUAUUCUCAUGAACAAACGGCUCUGAAAAUCUGGAACAUUGAGUUCUUUUGGGCCUUUGGCCAUUUUGUACAUGAGCAGCACCACUUGUGUAUAGGAGAACCAAGGGCCACUGCUCUCUAAUAACAGACCAGAGCGAUUGCUAACACGCCGAGCAAGGAGGGGGCGCAUGCGUGGCUCACUGAGCACCAGCCUCCCAGCACAGCUUGCAGGUCCUGAAUCUUCCUCCCUAGGAAAGUAAGGGCUGGCUACGCUGGAGGAGGGCUGUUUGUCAGGAAGGAGGCCUCCAGGGGAAAGCCAGCCUCUCAGAUGGGAGGUUUUCUCAUCUGACUUUUAGGAAAGUUAAGUUUUCUCCCGAAAAAACACAGAUCUUUGUCAUUUCUUCCUCGGCUUGAGAAUUUCUUCCAAUCUGUGAUUCUGAGAACCACGGUGGGCAUCUGCGGCCUGUGUCAGCUACGGCGUCACCAGGACUGCUCCAGGGGGGUUAAUUGCAUCUAAGCGUUGGAAAGCGACUCUCUAAUUAAACUUUGAAACGGAAUGGCAAAAUCGCUGGGUGACAGACUGUCUGUGGGAGGGUCCCCUGAGGUGCUCUUCGGUUGUUGCUAAUCAUCUUCUGGGCCCAGGCUGUGCCUGUGUGCGGCGGGGCCCGUGUUCAGACCUCGCUGUGCAGAACUCUGGAUUCCCUUGGAGGUUUGUCAGACAGGCCCCCCGCGGUGCUCUAUGCCCUGCCUGAACCCCACAGUUGGGCCUGGAUAUCUUGGAAGACUUUCACUGCUUGUCUUCGGCUCUCUGAUUUCUAUUUAAAAAUCAAAAGGUUAUUUCUAUACUUAGAACUGUGACAUCAAAAAAAUUCGAAUGUUGGAAGUUAA